rnacentral:rRNA from 1 species
GACGAACGCUGGCGGCGUGCUUAACACAUGCAAGUCGAACGGAAAGGCCCUGCUUUUGUGGGGUGCUCGAGUGGCGAACGGGUGAGUAACACGUGAGUAACCUGCCCUUGACUUUGGGAUAACUUCAGGAAACUGGGGCUAAUACCGGAUAGGAGCUCCUGCUGCAUGGUGGGGGUUGGAAAGUUUCGGCGGUUGGGGAUGGACUCGCGGCUUAUCAGCUUGUUGGUGGGGUAGUGGCUUACCAAGGCUUUGACGGGUAGCCGGCCUGAGAGGGUGACCGGCCACAUUGGGACUGAGAUACGGCCCAGACUCCUACGGGAGGCAGCAGUAGAGAAUAUUGCACAAUGGGCGGAAGCCUGAUGCAGCAACACCGCGUGCGGGAUGACGGCCUUCGGGUUGUAAACCGCUUUCGCCUGUGACGAAGCGUGAGUGACGGUAAUGGGUAAAGAAGCACCGGCUAACUACGUG